ACUCAUACCUUGCAGGGGAAAUACCAAGGUCAUGAAAGUGGUUUUCCCAGGGUGAGGCUCAUCCAUUGUACUUCAGGUGUGCUGAUCCCUAUGAUUUCCCCAAACUCAACUGCAUAAUUUGUGUUAAUGGGGGAUUGCAUUUGUGAUUUCCCUAG
rnacentral:snRNA from 1 species